UACGGAGGGAGCUAGCGUUGUUCGGAAUUACUGGGCGUAAAGCGCACGAAGGCGGCUUUGUAAGUUAGAGGUGAAAGCCCAGGGCUCAACCCUGGAAUUGCCUUUAAGACUGCAUCGCUUGAACAUCGGAGAGGUAAGUGGAAUUCCGAGUGUAGAGGUGAAAUUCGUAGAUAUUCGGAAGAACACCAGUGGCGAAGACGACUUACUGGACGAUUGUUGACGCUGAGGUGCGAAAGCGUGGGGAGCAAACAGG
rnacentral:rRNA from 1 species